CUUUAAGCUGCAAUGCCGGGAAAAAUGUGUUAAAUCUAAUUGUCGCGCAGAAAGUAGGAUAACAUACUGCAACUAUUAAUUUCAAUUAAAUGAGCAAAACAAAGUCAUGGAUCUGGGAUCAGUUCUCUCCCCUUGAAAGACUAUUUAACUAAUCUGGCUACAACGUAGGCAGCCCCGCGAAGAAGGAUUGAUUUCCGUUACCCAGCCUCCGCGAUACAAACUCCUGACAUUUAUUCCGGCCAAGUCGAAAAGGGCUCUAAAGUCUCGGUUUAUCUAAAUGCUGCAUUGUGCUGCUAGUGUCCCCUGAGAUUUUCCGAGGCGUUGAAGCGUGCCACCCCGGUUUUCGGGCCAACAAAAUGCAGUGGUUUCCGGUUCGCCAGCGACCCCAGGCUCAGGGCACAAGCAACAUCAACAGUGGGAGUUAAUUCGCCAAAGUCAGUAACCUCAUCAAAGAACGGCUAACCGUCUGUCUGAAGGGGAGGUGGGUCUUUAGCUUUCGCUUGGCUGCUGGGGGUGUCGUCUACUCCACCGCCGCCACAUUAAAUUCACGCCAAACGACGUGAGGCGCAUAUGUUUAUGAGUCUCGUCGAGAUUGAAAGCCCUGGAAGUGGAAUCGAGUGGAGUGGUGUGGCAUGCCCAUGGUUAACCGAAAGCGAAGCAGGACGCUCCUUGCAUAAAAGCCUCAUGGUCACCGUUUGCCGAUGAUGAUGCCGCUAGCUGCUCCUGCCUCCUGGCUGCUUUCCUCCUCGCCGCACGCUGCCUGCUAAUGGAUUUCGUGGCACUGCCAAUUGAAGGGUUAGGGCUACGGGAGAAGUGGAAGUCCUCUUUUGGCCGCGCAGCAUGCUUUCAAUUUACUUCCACUUCCUCCACCGAACGCCCGGUUUUGUUAUUGUUGUUGCUCUGACUUACGCACCGUGAAUGAAUGCCAAAAGGGCGCAGGAGACGGGGCAGGAGGUGUGGUACUCGGGGAUGCGAUGCCACAGGACGAUGCACGUUAUUUUUUGACCAAGAGGAAUAUUAAGAUGUUUUAAGUCUUACAUAUGUAUAAACCAAUAUAUUAAGAAGUUAUAUUCCCAA